rnacentral:lncRNA from 1 species
AGGAAGAGAAUCACACUCUUUAGACCGGGGUCUCAGAUUUCAGCCGGACGGGAACUCUCUGCAGGGCCGGUGGAAAGAGAUCGCCAGCCCCAGCUCUGUAGGGGUGCGGCCUGCCUCGAGCACUUCACACGCGUGCCCGGGGAUGCUGGUGCUGCAGCAGGCUUAAAGAAGAAACCCAAACGCUCUGUGAAUGGGACAUGUGCUCAGAGGCGUCUGCAGUUGAGGCGGGUGACGUUCUGGGGUCCCUGGGAAGUUGUCAUCACCCUGCUGACAUGAGUGUGGAUGUUGAGGCCUGGAGGGUGACAGGUCACACAGCCAGAGCCUGGCAGCAGCGCAGGGGCGGAACCCCGGGUCCCCUGUGGGCCUGUGCCCUCUCGGCCAGCCUUGCAACGCGCAGCUAACGCUCUUCAAGAAAACAUUCUCUGGAGGAAUCCUGCUGGUCCUGAAGUUUUUGGCCUUGAGAAGGUCAUCACAGACACCCCUCCCCUCGGGCCAGGCCUGCUGUCUUGUCUAAGGGGCCCUAUUUUAUCUGAGGUGAUUUGCAACUCUGAAACACACAUACAUAAAAUAGAAAUACCGUCCUCACUAUUAACCUAGAGACCCCCAUCCCUACCCCUCCCUAUGAAUGCUUUUUCAUAAACAUGCCGCAUUCUGAGGAAUCCGAAAGACUCCAGCGUAGGACAGACCGCUGUUCCAAGCCACUGGGAAAGGGGAAACUGGUGACUGAGCGGCGCCCGUCAGAGCCAUUAAAACGUGAGGGAAAACUGCACCUUACGGCACACGAACCCUUAGAAGAGGCAAAACACUACUGAGUUAAUGCUUAAUUUAUUUGUAAUGAUAAAAGUUUUUAUCACUUUAAAUAAAGUUAUUUGAAAAAAGUUAUUCAAUGGCAG